AACGCGAAGAACCUUACCUGGGCUCGAAAUGUAGAGGACGUGACCUGAAAGGGUCAUUCCCGAAAGGGUCUCUAUAUAGGUGCUGCAUGGCUGUCGUCAGCUCGUGCCGUGAGGUGUUUGGUUAAGUCCAGCAACGAGCGCAACCCUUAUUGUUAGUUGCCAACACGUAAUGGUGGGAACUCUAACGAGACUGCCUGGGUUAACCAGGAGGAAGGUGAGGAUGACGUCAAGUCCGCAUGGCCUUUAUGUCCAGGGCUACACACGUGCUACAAUGGUCGGUACAGAAGGCUGCGAAACCGUAAGGUGAAGCAAAUCCCCAAAGCCGAUCUCAGUUCAGAUUGUGGUCUGCAACUCGACCACAUGAAGUUGGAAUUGCUAGUAAUGGCGUGUCAGCAACAGCGCCGUGAAUACGUUCCCGGGCCUUGUA
rnacentral:rRNA from 1 species